UAAUGAUCCCCUGACUUUUGGUGGUUCCAUUAGGUCCACAUUUCAGCUUGUGAGUGAAAUGUCUCAAAUAGCACCAUCAUCAGGAGUUGAUGAAGGCAACAACAAAACCACAAGGAGAGCGAAUAAUAAAAUUACCUUCAUCAGAUGGAUAAAAACAUGACUGAAUGAUAAUGUUGCUCCAUGUCUGCUGGCUGUGUAAAUAGGUGGUGACCCUGCUCUCUUCCUGCUCUGAAUGCCGUCUCUCUUCACUGUUGGAUAUUUGGACAUCCAUGGUAAUGGUGCAGAUCACAGACAGGAUCAUCUGACCCUUCAGGUUGUAGUCAGAAACUCUCCAUUUCCUUGGACGCUGUCGUCCAUCAGGUGAGUGAACUGAGGAGGUGACUCUCACAA